UACAGAGGUCCCAAGCGUUGUUCGGAUUCACUGGGCGUAAAGGGUGCGCAGGUGGGUUGGCAAGUUUGAUGUGAAAGCCCCGGGCUUAACCCGGGAAUGGCAUUGAAUACUGCUGAUCUGGAGGAUCGGAGGGGGGACUGGAAUUCUUGGUGUAGCAGUGAAAUGCGUAGAGAUGCGGAGGAACACCGAUGGCGAAGGCAGCCCCCUGGGCUGACACUGACGCUCAGGCACGAAAGCGUGGGGAGCAAACAGG
rnacentral:rRNA from 1 species